AUUGAACGCUGGCGGCAGGCCUAACACAUGCAAGUCGAACGAGUGGCGGACGGGUGAGUAAUGUCUGGGAAACUGCCUGAUGGAGGGGGAUAACUACUGGAAACGGUAGCUAAUACCGCAUACCAUCAGAUGUGCCCAGAUGGGCUUAGCUUGUUGGUGGGGUAACGGCUCCCCAAGGCGACGCUCCCUAGCUGGUCUGAGAGGAUGACCAGCCACACUGGAACUGAGACACGGGCCAGACUCCUACGGGAGGCAGCAGUGGGGAAUAUUGCACAAUGGGCGCAAGCCUGAUGCAGCAAUGCCGCGGGGAUGAAGAAGGCCUGCGGGUUGUAAAGUACUUUCAGCGGGGAGGCGUUACCCGAAGAAGAAGCACCGGCUAACUCCGUGCCAGCAGCCGCGGUAAUUC
rnacentral:rRNA from 1 species